rnacentral:rRNA from 1 species
AGUGAACGCUGGCGGUAGGCCUAACACAUGCAAGUCGAACGGCAGCACAGUAAGAGCUUGCUCUUACGGGUGGCGAGUGGCGGACGGGUGAGGAAUACAUCGGACUCUACUUUUUCGUGGGGGAUAACGUAGGGAAACUUACGCUAAUACCGCAUACGACCUACGGGUGAAAGCAGGGGAUCUUCGGACCUUGCGCGAUUGAAUGAGCCGAUGUCGGAUUAGCUAGUUGGCGGGGUAAAGGCCCACCAAGGCGACGAUCCGUAGCUGGUCUGAGAGGAGGAUCAGCGACACUGGAACUGAGACACGGUCCAGACGCCUACGAGAGGCAGCAGUGGGGAAUAUUAGACAAUGGGCGGAAGCCUGAUCCAGCCAGACCGCGUGGGUGAAGAAGGCCUUCGGGUUGUAAAGCCCUUUUGUUGGGAAAGAAAAGCAGCAGGUUAAUACCCCGCUGUUCUGACGGUACCGAAAGAAUAAGCACCGGCUAACUUCGUG